CCUAACACAUGCAAGUCGAACGGAAAGGCCUCUGCUUGCAGGGGUGCUCGAGUGGCGAACGGGUGAGUAACACGUGGGUGAUCUGCCUUGUACUCUGGGAUAAGCUUGGGAAACUGGGUCUAAUACCGGAUAGGAACUGCCUUUAGUGUGGUGGUUGGAAAGUUUUUUCGGUGCAAGAUGAGCUCGCGGCCUAUCAGCUUGUUGGUGGGGUAAUGGCCUACCAAGGCGUCGACGGGUAGCCGGCCUGAGAGGGUGUACGGCCACAUUGGGACUGAGAUACGGCCCAGACUCCUACGGGAGGCAGCAGUGGGGAAUAUUGCACAAUGGGCGGAAGCCUGAUGCAGCGAC
rnacentral:rRNA from 1 species